UUCUCUGCAUGAGAAAGAUCAAUGCAAUGCCCCCGAUAACACAUGGACAUGGUGAACCACUAAGCCGCCACGAAUUAGGAGCUUGCCGCCCCUAAGACACUUCAUGCUCUCCACUACGACGAUACCAAGCACGCACCACGCAAAGUCAAAUACUAGUUGAUUCGUUUCCCUUUCUUUUAAGCGUCCCGCGCGUAUGUAUUGCCGCCAGCUCGCCAGUUCAGUUCGUGCAUGCACAGCAGCCGGAGUAGUUAGCCAGCCCAUACUAGGAGUGCACGACAAUGCCCGCCAUGCACUCCGCCGAUGAGCCCGUGUCCGGUCCGGCCGUGAGCAGUACGGCGGCAACGCAACCGCGAGAGGCCGCAGCGGAGGACGGCGGCAAGAGCCCGGUGUCGCCGUCGAUGGAGGACGAGCGGCAGAUCCCCGUGGACCCAGUCUCGCUGCGGCACCUGGGCAUNNNN
rnacentral:lncRNA from 1 species